rnacentral:tRNA from 1 species
GCGAAAGUGGCGGAACUGGUAGACGCGCUGGAUUUAGGAUCCAGUCCUUUUCCGGGGUGGGGGUUCGAGUCCCCCCUUUCGCACCA